rnacentral:rRNA from 1 species
ACUCAAAUGAAUUGACGGGGACUCGCACAAGCAGAGGAUCAUGUGGUUUAAUUCGAUGGUAAACGAAGAACCUUACCAGGGUUUGAAACCUAGCUGAAGUCAUUAAGAAACUUUUGACGUCUCACAAGGACAGCUAGGCAGGUGAUGCAUGGCCGUCGUCAGUUCGUGGUUUGAAUUGUUCCCUUAAGUGGGGUAACGAACGCAACCCUCGUUGUCUGUUAUAUAUGUCAGACGAGACUGCCCCCGCAUUAGUACGUAAAUGAAAAUUUAUUUAUUAAUGCGGGGGAGGAAGGCGAGGAUGACGCCAGGUCAGCAUGUCCCUUUGAUACCCUGGGCUACACACGUGAUACAAUGGAUGUUACAACGGGAUGCGACGAAGAAAUUCUGAGCUAAUCCUUUAAAGAUAUCCUAAGUUCGGAUUGGGGUCUGCAACUCGACCCCAUGAAGUUGGAUUUGCUAGUAAUCACAAGUCAGCCAUAUUGUGGUGAAUACGUUCUCGAGUCUUGUACACACCGCCCGU